UAAAAAAAACCGCUAUGCACGAUCCUCGGCCCCCCACCCCGCACACGCCGCCGCACCCUGCACGCCACCCUCGCGCACUGGGCGCCCCGCCCCCAAGCACGCCGCACACGCUGCAGGCCGCCCCCAGGCGCCGCCGCGAACUGUAGGCCGCCCCCAAGCACGGGCGCCCCGCCCCCAAGCACGCCGCACACGCCGCCCCCAAGCACGCCGACACGCUGCAGGCCGCCCUCAGGCGCCGCCGCGAACUGUAGGCCGCCCCCAAGCACGCGGACCGCACACACGCAUGCUGACACGCUGCAGGCUGCCCCCAAGAACGCCGCCGCCGACUGCAGGCUGCCGACCUCAUCCGAGGUCACCUCCCAUACGCCGCCGGCGCCCUGCCCUGUCCAACCUCGCCCUGGCCGACGCGAUUUGGGCUUCGCAUUGCCCGCCGCCCUGGGUUGUUUUCGACAUGAAUUAUUUUUCAUAGAUAACAUCAAGAUUACCCCGACAUGUCCUGCUAAAUUGUGUAUUCAUUGUGUUACUGCAAGUAGCAGUCAGCACAGUAUAUUUGGCUAUUAGCUUCUGAAAAGCAAGAAUUCAACAUUUAUGAACAUUCAGUAGGAACUUCGAAUUAACUUAAUAUAGUUGUUCGUUAUGUAAUGAUGUGACUAUUUUUUGAUGACCAGGGAAUGCUUUCCGCAGUUUGACCAUGAUACCUCAACUACGGCCAUAUCAGCGGCAGGUUUGUUCCUUUGUAGUGAUCUGAACUUCAUAGGUAGGCAAUGUUCACAGUUUCUUAACACUGGUGAUACCUGCAACAUCAAAUACAGGUUUUGCGAAAUGACAUACUGGAUUUUUUUGGAUGCACCUGUUCCAUACAUUUGCGAGUUUCCGAGAUUUUGCAUUUUUUUGUUUCGGAUAAAUUAGAGAGGAUAAUGCAGAAAUUGUAGCGAUCUAUUUUUAGCCUGCAUACUCAGAAGGGAAUCAGGCCAUGUCCCUUUAAAUAGGCAAUGAAAUUGGACUAAGGUCCCUGCCUAUCUGAAGUGACGGGAUCCAGUUCGUGUCUAUCCUCCAUCCGUGCAUGACUUUCUGGAUAUAAAUCAACUCAUUGUGGAUGUAGAUUAAGUCUGCUCCAGUCCCGCAAAUUCUGCAACUGUUGGUAUGAAUGGGUUGUCGUCAUGACGCUACACAGGAAUAAGGGUGUGUUUGGUUCUGAGCCAAAGUUAGCCCCACCAAAAAUUGGUGCACCAAUGCUAUAUGACUGGUUUGGUUGGAUGCUCAAAACUUGGAUAGCCCAGCCGAGUCUGUAAGCAUGCAGUUAAAUUUUUCACUGAUCCCCAAGGCGGACUGAGGGUGGCCGACUUUUACGCCAAAAAGUUGGUCACACCCAAGAUUUGGUAUGUCUUUGUGGCUUAUACCAAAUAGGCCCUAAGAGCCAACAACGAGGAGAGGAGGUAGAGGUAUUGUGAAUGGCUACUAUGGUGGUGUGGUGCUGGUAGGAGCUUGUGCUUUGUAGAAUAUCACAGAUUAAUGUUUGAACCCUACUAGGCAGUGCUUUCCCAUGGAUGGCAGCAGUAGCGGUGGAAUGGGGGAGUCCAAUGUGUUUUAUAAGAUGUGUAGUUGCUGAAAUGAAGAUCGGUGUGGCAUCAGUUUCUUUGUAUCUUUCCCUGGUAAAUAAUACUAAGAACUAAUCAUUUAUUUCAUCUCGACGAAAUUUCACAAUUUAUUUUCUUGUGCCAUCUAAACUCUUGUCUGCAAUUUAUAUCUACUUCAAAUGCUAAUUUCUUGCAUGCUGCAUAUGUUUGUUUGGAAGUCUGUCAUUUUAAUCAUGUGUACUCAUUUUGUUCCACCGUAUUGGUUAGAUGACCUGUUCGAAUUUUCUUUUGUUAUAACAAAUAUUUUGGUGCAUACCUGGUUUGAUAAUUUUUCAGCAAAUUCCAGGCGCAAUAAUGGUUCGGGCAAAAAUAUGAUUCCGUUGUAUGAGUUGAAUAGAAGCUUGCAGCAGAAAGUGUAUUGACCAUCUUGGAAGUAUAUGUCGUACACACCCAGGAGAUUAGGGAGACGUGCAGUUGAUCCGGGAGCUAAGUGAGUGAUUGUUGAGGAGCAAGUCAAGAAAGAAAAUCCCCUCUAUUUUGUAGAUUAUUCCAGUAAUACAUAUAUUCUAAUUAUGCAUACAUGCAUCUGUUAUUAAUUUGAAUACAUACUAUUUGAAGACUUUAUCUGAUUUCUCUCCAACAGUGCAAUGCCAAACCA